AACGAACGCUGGCGGCAUGCCUAACACAUGCAAGUCGAACGAAGGCUUCGGCCUUAGUGGCGCACGGGUGCGUAACGCGUGGGAAUCUGCCCUUUGCUUCGGAAUAACAGUUAGAAAUGACUGCUAAUACCGGAUGAUGUCGCAAGACCAAAGAUUUAUCGGCAAAGGAUGAGCCCGCGUAGGAUUAGCUAGUUGGUGGGGUAAAGGCCUACCAAGGCGACGAUCCUUAGCUGGUCUGAGAGGAUGAUCAGCCACACUGGGACUGAGACACGGCCCAGACUCCUACGGGAGGCAGCAGUGGGGAAUAUUGGACAAUGGGCGAAAGUCUGAUCCAGCAAUGCCGCGUGAGUGAUGAAGGCCUUAGGGUUGUAAAGCUCUUUUACCCGGGAUGAUAAUGACAGUACCGGGAGAAUAAGCUCCGGCUAACUCCGUG
rnacentral:rRNA from 1 species